CUACGGGAGGCAGCAGUAAGGAAUAUUGGACAAUGGCCGCAAGGCUGAUCCAGCCAUCCAGCGUGCAGGAAGAAGGCCCUAUGGGUUGUAAACUGCUUUUAUCAGGGAAGAAACCUGUGGAUUCACUCCGCAGCUGACGGUACCUGAAGAAUAAGCACCGGCUAACUCCGUGCCAGCAGCCGCGGUAAUACGGAGGGUGCGAGCGUUAUCCGGAAUUACUGGGUUUAAAGGGUGCGUAGGCGGCUAUGUAAGUCAGGAGUGAAAGUUUGCGGCUCAACCGUAAAAUUGCUUUUGAUACUGCAUGGCUAGAAUUAGGAUGAGGUCAGCGGAAUGUGGCAUGUAGCGGUGAAAUGCAUAGAUAUGCCAUAGAACACCAAUUGCGAAGGCAGCUGGCUAGACCUGGAUUGACGCUGAGGCACGAAAGCGUGGGGAGCGAACAGGAUUAGAUACCCUGGUAGG
rnacentral:rRNA from 1 species